rnacentral:rRNA from 1 species
UACGUAGGGGGCAAGCGUUGUCCGGAUUUAUUGGGCGUAAAGAGCGUGUAGGCGGCCGUACAGGUCAGCUGUGAAAACUCGAGGCUCAACCUCGAGACGUCGGUUGAAACCGUACGGCUAGAGUCCGGAAGAGGAGAGUGGAAUUCCCGGUGUAGCGGUGAAAUGCGCAGAUAUCGGGAAGAACACCGGUGGCGAAGGCGGUUCUCUGGGCCUUACCUGACGCUGAGGAGCGAAAGCGUGGGGAGCGAACAGG